UAGGGAAUCUUCCGCAAUGGACGCAAGUCUGACGGAGCAACGCCGCGUGAGUGAAGAAGGAUUUCGGUUCGUAAAACUCUGUUGUUAGAGAAGAACAGCGCAUAGAGUAACUGUUAUGCGUGUGACGGUAUCUAACCAGAAAGCCACGGCUAACUACGUGCCAGCAGCCGCGGUAAUACGUAGGUCCCGAGCGUUGUCCGGAUUUAUUGGGCGUAAAGCGAGCGCAGGCGGUCAAUUAAGUCUGAUGUGAAAGCCCCCGGCUCAACCGGGGAGGGUCAUUGGAAACUGGUUGACUUGAGUGCAGAAGAGGAGGGUGGAAUUCCAUGUGUAGCGGUGAAAUGCGUAGAUAUAUGGAGGAACACCAGUGGCGAAGGCGACUCUCUGGUCUGUAACUGACGCUGAGGCUCGAAAGCGUGGGUAGCAAACAGG
rnacentral:rRNA from 1 species